UUUAUAGUUUUUGUCUGAAGUACCAUUUUCGGAUUUUUUAACAUGCAUGAAAUUUAUUUUAUUCUAUUCACACAAAAUUUGAACUUUCGAUAAAUUAUUUUGAUAGUGUUCCAAAUUUUAAUUAGUUGACGACCACAUAAUUGCAAACUCGAUCAGUCAAUAUUUUACGAAAAUUUUUCAAGUAUAUUUUCGGGCAAACUGAGCUAAGCUUCAACUUUUACUUUAGUACAAAUUUUUUUCGUGAGGCCUUCACAACAAUACGAAGAGAACUGCAGCAAAAACUGGCGUACGUCCUACUAUCAAACUUUAAAAAAAUACAAACAAAACACAUAAACUAAGGUGUUUCCAUAGUUUAAAAAAAAAAUGGAACCAAAACUGCUGUUAUUCAUCACGAACUAAUAUUGGAACAAUGUUUGAAAAAUACUUCCGCUUCAAAAAGAGGUAAAUUUCUCUACCAAAGUACUUAUUUUUGUUUAU